ACUCCAGCUUUGUUUUGAACCUUUUGCUACCGUGUGCUCAGGCCACUCUAGCCAUCCAGGAACAUCACAAACAGGGUCAUCCUCCUGCCUACCUCAGGGCCUUUGCACUUGAAGCUUCCCCUACCCAGAGUGCUCUUCCAUUCCCUCAUCACCUGGCUGACUACUACUUGUCCUUCAGGUCUUAACUUGGAAAAUCACUUCCUCAGAGAAUACCCCGUUGACCAGGACUGGUCUCCCACUGUGUGACCCACUAUUUUCUUUUCAAGAAUUCAUUGUAGUUUGUAACGACUAGUUACUUGUGUGAUUAUUUGUUUAACACGAGUUAUUAUCUCUAGGUUACAAGCUUCCUGAGAGCAGAAACCAUGCCUGGUUUAGCUUAUCACUGCAUCUCCAACAGCUACCACAGUGCCUAGCACAUAGGUGACCGUCUGGGACACGGGUUCGAGUCCUGGUCCGGGAAGAUCUCACAUGCUGCAGAGCAACUAAGCCCGUGAGCCGCAACUGCUGAGCCCAUAUGCCACAACUACCGAAGCCCGUGUGCCUAGAGCCCGUGCUCCGCAACAAGAGAAGCCCACGCACUGCAACAAAGAGUAGCCCCUGCUCACCUCAACUAGAGAAAGCCUGCACUCAGCGAUGAAGACCCAACACAGCCAAAAAUAAAUAAAUAA